CAACUUGGGUGUGGCAGAGGCCUCACUCUCAGGCCUGGAGCCCUUGAAAUGGCUUGGGCUACUGUUCUGAACUUGGGGUCAGGGAGCAGCCGUCUGGCCUGAGUCCAUCCUCAGAGGGUAAGGGGCAUCUGUCAGGCAUCAUCUAGACUCUUCACCGUCCCUCACAGGACUUGACCAUCUUGAAUCUUCCUGGAUCUAAGAAGGAAUGUCCCGAGAUCUGGCUUCCCUCUCCAGGAGCAGGCUAGGCUGGCAAAGCUCCCAGAAAAGCCCUGCCAACCCUACCCCUUUGGCUGGAGCUGUGGUGAAAAGCUUGGUUACACUCGGCUUCUAUGGCUUCUAUUGUCUGCACAUCCCAUAUGCCAAUUGGCUGGGAGUGGCAGGCUGGUGCCGGAGUAGCAGGGAAGAAACUGGGGUAACCCCGAAGUCAGGGGCCACUGGACCUGGCAGCUGCCCUGGAGGUGCCCCCCACCCUGCUUUAAGGAAGCAUCAGGAGGAUCCUGGCAUCCGAGCCCAGCCUUGGACACCCCAUGGGGACUCUUGAGGCAAGGUACGUGAAAUGGGUCUCCCCACCCCACAAAAUCUGAGAGUCGGGCCCAGG
rnacentral:lncRNA from 1 species